AGAGUUUGAUCAUGGCUCAGGACGAACGCUGGCGGCGUGCCUAACACAUGCAAGUCGAGUGCGCGGCUGUAGCAAUACAGCUGGCGCACGGCGCACGGGUGCGUAACACGUGGGCAAUCUGCCCUCAGAUGGGGGAUAACCCGCCGAAAGGCGGGCUAAUACCGCAUGACAUUCCGGGGACCACGGUCCCUGGACUCAAA
rnacentral:rRNA from 1 species